AUGGGCGUGCGCUCAAAGGAUACAAACAGGGAUUCGCCAACAAAAGGGGGAAUUCGUAGUCACUUUUUCCUGUCACGUAAAAAAAGUCUUUACACCUGAGAAAAUGGUUGGUAUACAUCUAUCUCUUCUGAGCAAACUCUUCUGGAUUCUUAA
rnacentral:rRNA from 1 species